GACGAACGCUGGCGGCGUGCUUAACACAUGCAAGUCGAACGGAAAGGCCCUGCUUUUGUGGGGUGCUCGAGUGGCGAACGGGUGAGUAACACGUGAGUAACCUGCCCUUGACUUUGGGAUAACUUCAGGAAACUGGGGCUAAUACCGGAUAGGAGCUCCUGCUGCAUGGUGGGGGUUGGAAAUUUUCGGCGGUUGGGGAUGGACUCGCGGCUUAUCAGCUUGUUGGUGGGGUAGUGGCUUACCAAGGCUUUGACGGGUAGCCGGCCUGAGAGGGUGACCGGCCACAUUGGGACUGAGAUACGGCCCAGACUCCUACGGGAGGCAGCAGUGGGGAAUAUUGCACAAUGGGCGGAAGCCUGAUGCAGCAACGCCGCGUGCGGGAGGACGGCCUUCGGGUUGUAAACCGCUUUCGCCUGUGACGAAGCGUGAGUGACGGUAAUGGGUAAAGAAGCACCGGCUAACUACGU
rnacentral:rRNA from 1 species